GAGGGCAGAGCUCACUGGUAGGGCGCAUGUUUGGUGCGCACGAAGUCCUGGGUUCAGUCCCCAGUGCCUCUG
rnacentral:tRNA from 1 species